UGUGAGGUGGGAGGAUCACAUGAGCCCAGGAAUUCAAGGAUACAGUAAGCUAUGUAUAAUCAUGCCACUGCAUUCCAGCCUGGGCAACAGAGCAAGACCUCAUCUCUAAAUAAUAAUAAUAACAAUAAAUUAAGAAAGGUUACUUUAGAGGCGUCUCCCCUCUUCCUUCCUAUGUUGUAUUACGGUGAUUAUAUAUAUAUACAUAGGUUUUCAUCCAUGGUUCCUGGUUCCUAACUCCCAUAGUCUUUGUUACAGGCUCACGCCGCCACACCUGACUGGUUUUUGCAUUUUUUGGUGGAGACGGGGUUUCGCCGUGUUGGCCGGGCUGGUCUCCAGCUCCUAACCGCGAGUGAUCUGCCUGCCUCGGCCUCCCGAGGUGCCGGGAUUGCAGACGGAGUCUCGCUCACUCAGUGCUCAGUGUUGCCCAGGCUGGAGUGCAGUGGCGUGAUCUCGGCUUGCUACAACCUCCACGUCCCAGCCGCCUGCCUUGGCCUCCCAAAGUGCCGAGAUUGCAGCCUCUGCCCAGCCGCCACCCCGUCUGGGAAGUGAGGAGCGUCUCUGCCUGGCCGACCAUCGUCUGGGAUGUGAGGAGCGCCUGUGACCGGCUGCCCCGUCUGGGAAGUGAGGAGCGCCUCUUCCUGGCCGCCAUCCCGUCUAGGAAGUGAGGAGUGUCUCUGCCCCGCCACCCAUCGUCUGAGAUGUG
rnacentral:lncRNA from 1 species